rnacentral:tRNA from 1 species
GCAUCUGUGGUGGAAUGGCAGACACGCUGGAUUUAGGUUCCAGUGCCGAAAGGCGUGUGGGUUCAAGUCCCACCAGAUGCA